GACGUAGGGCGCGAGCGUUGUCCGGAUUUAUUGGGCGUAAAGAGCUCGUAGGCGGCUUGUCGCGUCGUCCGUGAAAACCUGUGGCUCAACUGCAGGCUUGCGGUCGAUACGGGCAGGCUAGAGUUCGGUAGGGGAGACUGGAAUUCCUGGUGUAGCGGUGAAAUGCGCAGAUAUCAGGAGGAACACCGGUGGCGAAGGCGGGUCUCUGGGCCGAAACUGACGCUGAGGAGCGAAAGCGUGGGGAGCGAACAGG
rnacentral:rRNA from 1 species